GUAUUACUUACGCAAAAAAAACGAAGCUAAAAGAUAUCGAAGACAGAACUUUUGCAAACAGUUUACGGCACAUCACGGAAGAAGUCGAUAAAGAUGCGAUUAUUUGGUACUUUUUGUCCAGUCUGAUACCAGGACCCUACAUUACAAAGCUAGCUAGCGAUACACAACAACAGUUAGGCAAGGAAAAUAAUCCAUCAGCAGCAAAAAAGAGAAAAAUCACAAAACGACGAGUAACCCCUGCGGAAGCUCGUUAUUCUUCUUUUUUAAUUUUGCCGAAUCUUGCGGAAAUAGAAGAAGCUGUCAAACAACGGCAGGAAUACCUUGCCAAAAAUAAUUUAUCGUGCCAGCCUAUAGCUGUUCUUAUAGGAUCUAUCGAUAAAGUUGUAGACUCAUACGUUUACAUUGAAAAUAAACGUUACAGAACGAAAUCGACAUUAGCUGCUCUCGAUUUGACUUUUAAAAGUUUCUUCACCUUAGAUUGUGAAUACCCGGUUGCAGGAGUGCAUGUGUGGACCUUUCUCCAGCAGGUUGUAUAUAAUCUUCAUUAUUUUAAAAAAGACUUUACUUCUACCAGUUAUAAAGACUUUGUAAGUGAUUUUAAACAAGUGAAAUGAUUCGAUAUUGAGUAUGAUUCACUAUGAAUCAAAGUUUUGACAUAUAUCUUAUUUUGAA